CCUACGGGGGGCUGCAGUGGGGAAUAUUGCACAAUGGGCGCAAGCCUGAUGCAGCCAUGCCGCGUGUGUGAAGAAGGCCUUCGGGUUGUAAAGCACUUUCAGCGGGGAGGAAGGCGGUGAGGUUAAUAACCUCAUCGAUUGACGUUACCCGCAGAAGAAGCACCGGCUAACUCCGUGCCAGCAGCCGCGGUAAUACGGAGGGUGCAAGCGUUAAUCGGAAUUACUGGGCGUAAAGCGCACGCAGGCGGUCUGUCAAGUCGGAUGUGAAAUCCCCGGGCUCAACCUGGGAACCGCAUUCGAAACUGGCAGGCUAGAGCCUUGUAGAGGGGGGUAGAAUUCCAGGUGUAGCGGUGAAAUGCGUAGAGAUCUGGAGGAAUACCGGUGGCGAAGGCGGCCCCCUGGACAAAGACUGACGCUCAGGCGCGAAAGCGUGGGGAGCAAACAGGAUUAGAUACCCCGGUAGUC
rnacentral:rRNA from 1 species